AUGUUUGCCUCGUCCCACCCACCCCGCCAAACCUGUCUUCCCGCCACCCCCGUGAGCGUGUCCCUGUCGCCGCCACCGCACGCACAGGGAGUGCUCACGGCGGGCCACUGCUAUCACUGGGUGUCACCGAGUGGCAGGAAGCAGAACUGGUUGGGCCCUGCUUGUGCUGCUCUCUGUCCCCUAAUUAGAUGUUUCCGGCAAGGCGGCGGCGGCUGUGGCUACUCAUCGCCCUCCCACAGCUGGAGUGUGGCAAGGCCAAGCCAGCCAGGGCAAGUCCCCUCUCUCUCGGAUUGCAAGCUCCUAGCCCAAGCACUAGACGGAGGGCCAGGUCCUACCCUAUCCAAGGCCUCCGGUCAGGACCAGGCUCUCAGGAGAGCAGGUGACGCAGACGUGAGCAUGCGGAGCCUGUGACUAAUGGGCUGGUGCCGACCUGAGAGGGGGUUACCUGGGCUCUCAACUGGGGCAGAGGGAGCCCAGUGGCUCAGCCCAGCCCAGCUGCUGUUAGGUGGCCUUGAACUCUUAUUAGGAAGGGCAGGAGCCCCCGUGCCUUCUCUUCCAGCCCCCAGGUCAGCUAGUAGGGCCUGAAAGGAAGCCAGUGCCAGGCAACUGGCAGAGCUAGGCAGUCGUGGAAACACAACGGGCCCGUCUCUCAGCAUGUCAUUUCCCUCCUGUGAACAUCAAGUUUUUCUCCCAGGCAGUGUCUUUUCCCUCUUUCCCGACUUUUUUUUUUUUUUUUUUUUUUUUUUUUUUUUUUUUUGGCUUGCUUUUUAGGGCUGCACCCGCAGCACAUGGAAGUUCCCAGACUUGGGUUGAAUUGGAGCUGCAGCUGGCGGCCUAUGCCCCAGCCACAGCAACAGUGGGUCUGAGCUGCAUCUGUGACCUCCACCACAGCUCACGGCAAUGCUGGAUCCUUAACCUGCUGAGCAGGGACCGGGAUCCAACCUGCUUACUAGUUGGGUUCAUUUCCACUGAGCCACGAUGGAAAGACUCCAACUGUUUUUCAUACCGUGUCCAUAACGCAGUUAAAACUGUGCACCUCAGCCUUACGGCAGAGCCAACGCCUUCCCACCCCCUGGGCCGCGUAGGGUUGGGCACCCCUGGGGGACGUCGCAGAAUGAUUGUUGAAAGUGAACAGUUAAAGAGGCCUGACUUCAACAGUGGCCACGCUUUACUCCUGUCCUCCCUGUACCCAGAGGACUCAUCCUCACCUGCUCUCUUUCUGGGACAAACAGUCUGGCAGGACUCCGCCUCCAGUCACCCGAGCUAGGGACCAACAGCCUGGCAGCCUGGGUGACGCACCCUGUGGGACAGCUAGGUAUCUCUCCAGCCCUCUGCUGGAACUACGCUGCUCUGCUGUAGCUGUCGGGGCUACACUGCCAACACUUCCCAGGAAUUAAAGGAAUAAUCAGAGGCCUAAUCUCUCCCCUUCACCCCCACCCCCACAUGUGCACUCUGGGGCCCAAGCUGACUUUCUCAGCCUUUCUAACCCAGCCCAGAAAGGGAGCUGCCAAGGUCCCACACUGCCUAGUCUGAGCCAGGCCGAGGAAACUCCCAUCUCCCGCCCCCCAGCCUGGCUGUCCCCCUGGGCUGGGUGCAGGCAGACCCACCUGCAGAACAGCCUUCAGGGGCUCCGUCCAAAGUGGGGAAGGGAUGGGAGGAGGCCCUACAGGCAGUAGGAAGAGGCCGCAGGAUGGGAUGCUUGUGGCUGGGAGCAGGUCAUUCAGCUUCCAGGCCUGGUCUACCCUCCAGGGCCUCCCUGGCCUUUGUGAUUUCACUCAGCGGUGGGCCUGGAGAACCCCACUUUAUCUCUGUUCCUCCCUGUUCCUGGAGCUUCCCCGUCAGACCAGGAGAUGGAAUUUAGCCCCUGGGUACAGGUGCCUGGAUUCUUCGUCAGGAAACCAGCCUCCCUCCCUGCACCCUACAGUCAAAAUUGAUGUACCAAAAGCAAAAUGCCAGGGGAGGAGUUCCUGUCGUGGCUCAGGGGUAGUGAACCCGACUAGUAUCCAGGAGGAAGCUAGUUAAGGAUCCGGCGUUGCCGUGAGCUGUGAGGUCGGUCACAGACACGGCUCAGAUCUGGCAUAGCUGUGGCUGUGGCUCUGGAGUAGGCUGGCAGCUGUAGCUCCGCUUAGACCCCUAGCCUCAGAACCUCCAUGUGCCUUGAGUGUGGCCCUAAAAAACAAAAAAAAGAAGUUCCACGGGAGAUGGAGAGCGGGGCUCGGGCGUCGGCUGGAGGGCCCACAUAGGUGGCAUCUUAACCAUAAACCCUUCAAAGCUCCUGGCACGACAUCUGCCACCCCAGUGGCUUUCCAGCUCCCGCACCUACUGGCUUGGCUUUUCUGUCAGCUGGCAGGAGGGCGAGGCCCAGGGGACUGAGUGGGGGAGUCUAAAGCUGGGCCUCAGGGAGAGGCUACAGUUCGGGGGCCCUGGACUCGGAGCUGCCAGGCUGCGGCCCAGCCUUGGGUCAGGAAGCCGUGCUUUCCAGGCACUUGCCACCCUAAGGGUCCCGGAGGACCCUGGCGGGAAGGUCAGACCUCAACGCUCCAUUCCCCAGCCCUCCCGGUGCCUCUCCCGGGGGACCGGACGGGGUCGAUGCUUAGCUGGUCACCGCAUGCUGCGCCUGUGAGGCGGGGUGAAGGAAAACGUGCCUAGCCGGCUCCCGGGGUCACGGUCGGCUGGUGAUGGAAUGGCCCAGCCGGGGCACAGGCCACCACAGAACACACUCUCCAGCCAUCUGAGGCACCCAAGCGUGGCCCGAGAACAUGCCCUUUCUCAUUUCCAAAAACUGUGGGAAAUCUCUCCGGUGGGCCACAUGGCUUUUAGAGCAAAAGUAAGUUCUCUGACUUCUGCUCUUUGCCUGACCCCACAGGACACUCCCGGGCCCGCCUCACCUCCUGGUCAGACCCCACCCAACACCUGGAUGACCCUGCGAGUGAGUGGCCCCCUCACCUGGACAGCAGCGACCACCGGAAUGCCCCCCUCUGCACCUGAUGGGACAAGCCCUGGGGGGGAAGGUCUCUCCGCCACUCCCGCCACGGCCACCAGAACGCUGUGGGGAAAAUCACUAGGACGCAAAGGAAGUCAAUGAUUUGAACAAAUGGAAUUUUUUUUGUCCUUCGUAAAAGUCAACCCAUGAUCGGUUACUGGUUGGGAUGUGAAAUAAAACUAAAAAUAACAGCA
ensembl:lncRNA